rnacentral:rRNA from 1 species
UACAGGGGGGGCAAGCGUUGUUCGGAAUUACUGGGCGUAAAGGGUCUGUAGGUGGCGAACUAAGUCAGACGUGAAAUCCCUCAGCUUAACUGGGGAACUGCGUCUGAUACUGGAUGGCUUGAGUGUGGGAGAGGAAUGCGGAAUUCCAGGUGUAGCGGUGAAAUGCGUAGAUAUCUGGAGGAACACCGGUGGCGAAGGCGGCAUUCUGGACCAUAACUGACACUGAGAGACGAAAGCCAGGGGAGCAAACGGG